UACGUAGGCGGCAAGCGUUGUCCGGAAUCAUUGGGCGUAAAGCGCGUGUAGGCGGUCCGGUAAGUCCGCUGUGAAAGUCGGGGGCUUAACCCUCGGAUGCCGGUGGAUACUGUCGGGCUUGAGUACGGAAGAGGCGAGUGGAAUUCCUGGUGUAGCGGUGAAAUGCGCAGAUAUCAGGAGGAACACCAAUUGCGAAGGCAGCUCGCUGGGACGUUACUGACGCUGAGACGCGAAAGCGUGGGGAGCAAACAGG
rnacentral:rRNA from 1 species